GAAGAGCACAGAAACAUUGUGACGAGCAGCAGGAAGAGGAAAGCAGUGCUUCAGAUCCAAGCCUGAAGAUACACCUGAUAUUUCCUAGAGACGUAUACGCAGACAAAGGAUAAGGACUUUCCAUUGAUAUCACAAUGACUAGUCAAGGUACUAAAAGAAAGCGCGAUCACGAAUCGUCUGACUUGAGUAUAGAGUCACCACUGACUUCAG